rnacentral:tRNA from 1 species
GGCGGUAUAGCUCAGUCGGUAGAGCAACGGAAUCAUAAUCCGCAGGUCGUUGGUUCAAGUCCAGCUGCCGCUA